AUUUUGUUGGUUCAUUUGUUUGGUUUUUGAGAGUCUCUCUGUGUAGCCCAAACUAGCCUUGAACUCACAGAGCCCUGUCUCCCUCCAACUCCCAGGUGGUGUGGUUAAGGGCGCGCUUCCUCGUGCCGGCUGAUCUUCUGUUGUUGUCCAGGAUCUGCUUUAUCAAUAAUGUUUUUUAAAUUAUCUUGUUAAAAUGAAUGUAAGAAUAACAUUCAAUUGUAAGAACUUAAUGCUUAAAAAUGUCAGCAUUUAUUUUUAUAGUCAUUAUAAUCAUUUGAGCAGAUUUAUAGUACAACCAUUUGCAAAUCAUUUUUUAUAACUAUGAAUCUUAUAGAAAGUGUCUAAAAACUGGUUUUGCUGUUUAGGGCAUGUUCUAUGACUUAAAGCUAAUCUUUGUGGUCUGUUUUCGCUGGUAAGUAGUCUAAAGAACCAUACCAGUAGUCUUCCUUAUUCCUAUUUCACUAGUGUGGCAAAGCCUAGGCAAAGUUCUGUAGUCAUUAUACCUACCAUCCUUCAGUGGCUUAAGAGAAUUUGUGCCUCUUUGCAUACUUGUCUGUACUUGUUCACAUGAGUGUCAACACAGUUAGAGUUGAAAUACCUGUUUUAUUUUUGGCAGCCACAAGACACAUAGGCAGCACAAAACAAGAAAAGCCAGAUUCAUCUGAUACGGCAUGAGAACAUUCUUCUUGAGACCAGUGAUUUGUUAGCUCACCUUUUCCUUUCUUGGUUUAUUUUCAGUUUAGAAAAUAAAUAUCUUUUUAGUAUUAUGUUGGUUUAAAAUGUUUUCUAAGUCUUAGUUAUUUUUUGGCUAUAACUUCAUAAGAGAGCAUAUACAUGAAAAAUGAGGGUCAUUUUGAUUAUUUAAAAACAAGAUGAGCCAGUACUUUAGAAUCUCAGACGUCCCUCAACUGUCAGUUGGUUGUGCUUCUGGUCAAAACUAUAAUAAGGGAUAGGUAAGAUCUCAUUUAUCUAAAAUGUUUAUAAGAUAUACAUCAUUAUAAAUUAUGUAUGUCGUGUGUGUGUGUGUGUGUGUGUGUGUGUGUGUACACAUCCAUCUCCAAAGUGACAAAUGUCCCUGCUUAUAGUAUAGUUGAAAAGCAAGGGCUUUGGAGUCAAUAGAUUCCGUAAAUUAUAGCAUAUUGUCUCUGGAAGAAGAGCUGAACAUUCAAUGAGAGUGGCUAAAUGUACACACCCGGAAAGUUGAUUAUAUUCAUUCAGGGCCAGCUCUCUCAUUGGUGAUUAAAGAUGUCAUUUAAGCAGGACCAAUUUGUAUAUUUUUAGCAGAUUUGACCUUUAAGGUUUUGUCAGUUGAUUUAGACUUAUGGCUAUUCUUUUCUCUGAGAGAACUUUAUUUUGUUCUCUUUCCUCAGUAUAGUCCAAGCCAGGUACUAUGCAAGUUUCCAUUUGUGUUUUGUGUUUGCAGGAGAUAAGUACAUAAAGCAUGCAGCUCAUGUUUUUGAUUUCUUUGGAUCUCAGAGAUGAGACUUAAGCUGAUCUUAAGUUCUUUGGAAAAACUAAUAUAGCUACUUUUAAAACAAAUAAAUUUUGUUAUUGUUUUCAUGCUUAAUGUACAAAAAUAAAAUAAGUGAUGUGUGACUGCUAAGCAGCAUGCUAGUUGAUAUGUAAAUUAACUGUAAAUUCUAAAACUAACUUAUUUUGAUUUCUUUAACUAACUGAAGGAGAAAUUUCAAAUGUUACUACCUUUAAUUUACAAAUUAUCUUCUUUCUUUCCCUAAUAAAGCAGAUAGAGUAAUGUAUUUCCUGGGUCAAUAUCAUUAAGGACUGUUGACGAUUUCACUUGGAAAUUUUACUAAAGUAAACAUGAAGUUAACCUGAUCUUUAGAAUUAAUACCAAAUUAUUAAGGCGAUGAUGACACUGAGACCUGCCAGUUUCUAGAGGUCACUGAGAACCAGUUAGAGGUCACUGAGAACCAGUUAGAGGUCGCUGAGUACCAGAUAGAGGUCGCUGAGAACCAGUUAGAGGUCGCUGAGAACUCGUUAGAGGUCGCUGAGUACCAGUUAGAGGUCGCUGAGAAACCAGUUAGAGGUCGCUGAGAACCAGUUAGAGGUCGCUGAGAACCAGUUAGAGGUUGCUGAGUACCAGAUAGAGGUUGCUGAGAACCAGUUAGAGGUUGCUGAGAACCAGUUAGAGGUCGCUGAGAACCAGUUAGAGGUCGCUGAGAACCAGUUAGUGUAAAAUGUAGAGCGUGAAUGAUGUGGACUCUGAUCAUUUCAGCUCAUUCAAUUCAGUUACUUUCUCUGGCUAUUACCUGCUCUUUGGAUAGCUGGACAGUCCGUUUGGAAUAGUAAACAUAUCUUUCUGUUCUGAUGUCACGAGCUUUAUGUGACUCAUCAUCUCUCUGCCACCCUGGAAAGUAAAGAAAGUGUAAUUUUACAAGGAGCUGACAUAUUUGUAGUAAAAUUAAAUAUUUUGUGUAUUAUGCUACUAACUUCUAGUUCGUUCUGAGUUUGUUGGGGGCGGGUUAUUUUGUUUUUUGUUUUGUUUUCUUAAUUCUACACAGUUUUUCUCUCUCUAGCUGUUUGAGUCUACAGAACUCACUCUGUAGACCAGGCUGACCCUGAACUCAAGAGAUCUGCCUGCCUUUACCACCCAAGUGCUGGGAUUAAAGAUGGGUGCCACCACUGCCCUGCUAGUUCAUUCUAUUUUAGCAUUUGAUUUUAUAUUAAUUCUCUUUUUUAUCAAUUACUACUGGUAAGCUUAUUGCUGGAACACAGUUCUCUUAAGACCAGUUCUUUAAAAUUAGUACAUCAUCUGAAUUCUCCUAGCCUAUGUGUAUAAACUAAUGGAAUUCCUCCUCUUGCUCUUGGGUGGCCAUAAAAGGCAAUGUGUUGUGUAAACUAGUGUUUUAGUACUGCUACAAUCAGAUCCAUACAUUUUUUUUGAGUCAUGCCACUACUAUGUACUAGAUGCAUAAGCUUAGUACGUUUCCUAUAAAAUGAAAUAUGAUAGCAUGCUAUAUGGUUCCUUUCUCUCCACCUCCAAAUAAAAACAAACAGAUGAGCAAUAUAGCCUACUCAGGAUAAACAAAAAUGUAGAGCAUGAAUGAUGUGGACUCUGAUCAUUUCGGCUCAUUCAAUUCACAGUUACUUUCUCUGGCUAUUACCUGCUCUUUGGAUAGCUGGACAGUCCGUUUGGAAUAGUAAACAUAUCGUUCUGUUCUCAUGUCACUGGAAGGCUAUUGUAUGUUUGCUUGUUUAUUUGGUUUGGUUGAGUUAGAUUGGUAUGGAUUGGUUCUUGUAGUGGGCUUGUUUUAUUAGAAGUUCCAGACAGGUUUUACUAAUAUUUAACAUCUGGAAGGACUGAAGGUUUCUGUUCCUUCCCAGGAUCCUCUUAUACUCAUUAUACAAUAAGCUCUAUAUUAAUCUAUUUCAUGCAAAUAUACAGCACAUGCCUUUACGCUCUAUCUCUGACUUUCAUAGGUGCAUGUAUGAGAAAAAAGUGUUGUGUAUUCUAAGACUUCUCGAGUGAUAGAGAGGUAAUGAUAGCUAAUUUUGAGGAUGAAUGUGUGUAAACUGCAUAAUAGACUUACCUUACUUUACUCAUAUAUUUAUAUGAGAAUAGCAUUGUUACCUGAGGUAAUUGAAGCACAGAAAGAUUAAGUAGCCUGUCCAAGGUUAGACACUGGUAAGUAAAGGAGCCAGUCUUUCCAACCCAAGAGGGUGGGCUUUUAGCCAAUAAGUUCUUCUGCCAUCCUACAAGUAUGUAUUUACAGGAAAUAACUUAUUGACUUAAGUCAUGGACUUAUUGAUUCAGGCUAUUCUCAUAUUUUAAUAAUUCUUCAUGUUUAUGGUUUUUUUUAGACUACAAGUUUCCUUAUGGACUCAGAUAUAUUAAUUUAUAAGAAUUAUCAAAUUGGGCACAAAAAAUUUACAAUUUUUUGAAGUCUCCCAAACUCUCCCUUUAACCCUUAAUGCCCAGUGUUAGAUGACUACUAGUUAUGAAUCCAGUAGGGUCCUAUACUCAGUGCCUACUUAUGCUUUCCUUCCUUAGUAAACUCACCCAGAAUAACCUGCUCACUGGGAGCAAAAGUCUCAAAGAGAUGACUUCUGUUUGUUUCUUGUUAGAUUAGAUACUGCAUAUUUUAGUGUGAUGUUAAAUAAUAACUGUUAUAAAAGAAAGUACUCAGUUCUAAAGUCAUUUUAAAAUCAGAUUUGUUUUCAAAAUAUAUAGAAAAGGAAGGCCAUGUAUAUAUGAAAUGAAUAAUUUUAUUUAGAAACAAUUUUUUGGCUUUGCUUUUUUUUAAGUCAGUUUAUAUUUUGUACAACACUGAAUAUCUUACUAAGAUAAAAGUUUUAUAUUUAAAUCUCUUGGCAUUUUGCCUUUCAAAUGAGAAUGUUUAAUCUUUGUAAACUAAAAAACUAUAUGAAGUUUAGGUGAUUGGUUUGUAUUUGGAUUCAAUGAACAUUUUUCUGGUAUUAGUAUGCCUCUAUAUUUAAGGGCCUCUGUGUGCAUUUUUUGUGUAGCCAAUUUAUGAAAGAAAUGUAUAAAUGGUUUAUUAGUGUUAUUUUUAAAAAUUGAGAUGCAUCCCUGGUGUCUUCUACAGUUAAAAUUCUUGUGAUAAUGACCAAACACAAUUGCAGAAUUUUAAUUUCAACAAAUAAAAAAUAUCAAAAGUAAAUUGGGAAAAUUUUAUAUGAGCAGUGAAAAAGAAAAAAAUAUUUUUUUAAAAAAUCUCAACCAUUCGAUUUUACCAAUCAAGACUCAGGAUCCAGAUGCUGGGGUGAAAGUCCACUAGCUCAGGAAGGCAGAGAAAUCACCCAGCUGACCUUCCUCCUCAUCCAGUGUCCCACAAACAUUCUCUCCUCCCAUGCCAUCUCAAAACCUCUUGAACUCAAUGACUCUCCUUCUACUUCCUGUGUACCUCUCUAUCUGUCCUCCUGACUUCCACUUACUCCCAGGUUCACUUCUUGUUAACUGGUUACUUGCCUCACCCCUUGACCUAUGGCUGGCUUCAUUUAAUCCUGUUUACAAUAGUCAAGCAGAAAGCUCUUAGAUUACAAAUAUGUGCUAGAGCUGAGACACACCACAACUAAAAACAGGUUUUUCCAGUAAAUAACACAAUCUCAGGGUUCCGUGUGAUCAAAUAUCCUGUAACAUUUCCCCCUUUUUGUCUAAAUAAAAAGCAAAAGUUUUAACUCUAACACAGUAAAGCUAUUUAUAAUAAUGAAACUAUUUCUGCCAAGCUUUCUACAAUAUCCAGCUUGAUUGUAUUUGGCAUUUAUCAUACAUGCAGCUGAAGACAUUAGCUUGAUAAGAUUUUUUUUUUGUCUAAUCAUAGAAAUUCUUAUAAAUCAGUUUGAAAAGUUCAGAAAGUAUGUCAGGUCUGUGUGAGAGCUUGCGUAUAGUCUUCAGCACUACAAAACAAAGGACAAAAGCAGAAGUUAGUAGCACCAAGAGUCAAUGAGGGUCUGAAGCUGCAGAAAGUCACUCAGGACUGAGAGCCGUGAAGUGUGCAGAUAUUUGAAAAGUUGAACUUAGAUAUCUACUUAGGUCAAAUGAAUUAAAAUUUUGAGAAAAUACAAACACUGAUAUGAAAGAUACAUUCAUUUUAAUUAUGCUCUUUAGCUUAUGAGAAUAGAGGCCAGUCUAGGUUCUAUAAGUGAUAAAAUUGUCCUAAGCCCCAGAGAGUAUCGAAUACCGUACUUAAUCAGAGAAAGUCUCGGCUAUGCACUUAACUUUUAAGUGAUCUGAUUGGUAACAAAAUUUGAUCCCUUUUCAGGCUUUGCCCUCAGAUACAGUUGAUGCAGGUUAAUUUUAUCCUCCCCUCUUCUGUCAUAGUUCUUGUUUAUUUGUAACUUCUGUUCUCCCUCCAUCUCUUCUCCUUGGUUUGUUACAUUCUUUGCUGACUUUACUUCAGUUUAACUUCAACUUUGGCUGCCCUAAACUCUUUGUAGUGCCCAAUUGAAGAAAGAAAGAAAGAAAGAAAGAAAGAAAGAAAGAAAGAAAGAAAGAAAGAAAGAAAGAAAGAAAGAAAGAAAGAAAGAGGAAAGGAACAAGAACUUAUUGAUUGCUUUUUCAUAUCAGUUAGUAUAAACUGAUCAUCCCUGGUCCAGUCUCAGUUAAUCAUACAAUUAUGAUUAUUUUUGUUUAAACUUAUGAAUGGGAUUAAGGGUUAUACUCAUGAGGCCACCAUGCUGAGAUCAUCUAAGGAUAUAAGAAUGAAUUCUUUUUCUCUGCCAAUUUAAAGAAUAAAAAAGCAGGAAAAGCAAGGUCUUAGCACUCCGCCAAGUUUUAUUAAAAGCAGAAGUGCACAAAGAGACAGACUCCCUAUGUAGAAAGGGUUCCAAAGACAGAUUCCAAGUUUUUCUGGCAGAGCCCAAACUUUUCUAUGUUUUGAGGUAGGAUGGGCUCUCUUUCUGCCCCAGAAUUGGCUAGUUUAGGCUAUUGUAUUGGAGUACAUAAGCCAUACAAAGAGAGGAAACUGAUUUGUUCUCACCCCAGAAGCCCUCAUGGCAGGUUUGAAUCUUCUGGCAGGAAAAAUCCCAUUCUUUGCCUUGGAGAGAAGCAACGGGAGAUGAAGUGCUUAGAUGAGAAGGACAUUGAGCUCUUGUCUCCUGCCUGCCUGCCUGCCAGGGCUCUACUUCUAGUCCUUCAGAGCGCAAUGCCAUGAAAGUCUGACACUGGGGUAUAGUUUACUAGGUUUAUAAGUAUUUAAAAUGUUUAGUCACAUAUUUCCCAGGAACAAUGUAUGUGACUAUUACUACAUUUUCAUCUUAUUUUUCUUCUCUUGUCUGUCUCUAAUUCACUUAUGUUUCUUUAGCUAAGAAACAGGUGAGGGCAAAAACAAUGUUUAAGUUCUAUCUCAUAUUGCUAACUAAUAUAGAUGACUUUAAAUAUGAAAUUACAUGUUACAAAUAUAUGCCAUUUUGUACAAUAGCUUAAUGUUGUAUAGAACUUUUCUUUGGGAGUGAAGUCUUCAAGCAGUCACUAGAGCAGAUGGGUUCUGCUUUUCUGUAUUUGAUAUGGGAAAGUAAUGGUGGGUGGCAUUGCUUACAUGUAUGGACAAUAGUAGAAAUAAUUUGCUAAGUUUAUGCAUGGAUUAAACACUAGCUGGGAAAAAUGUUUCUUUUAAAAAAGAUCAAAGGAUGCAGAAUGAUUCUUUUCCCUUCAAGUCUUAGUGGUGGUCUAAUAGCUCUUUAUUUAUAUUUCCUUGGUUCCCAGAUCAAUGUUAUCUGUCCAUCUGAUGGUGAUGGAUGAGUUGUAGCACUGAGUACUAGGUACUAGGUGGUACAGACUGAGUACUAGGAUGAAUGAAUGUACCCUGGGCUAGUAGUGUUUUCAUUACAAAGAAUUCUAUUAUUUUUCAGACACAUGAAACAUAUAAAGUAAGGCUAGUGCUAGGAAUACUUACAUUACUCUACAUUUCUUAGCCCGUUAGUUUGGUUGGUUAUAGUCCUACCCAUCUGAUAUGUUGAGGAAUAAAAGGAGUAAUUAAGGUUUACGUAAGUGCAUUGUUAUUAGAGUAUCUUCAGAUAGGUGCUACUCCCAGCUUACAUAGAGAUGAACCCUAAUGGGUCAUGUGACCAUCGAUCAGUCAGGAGGAUGUUAUCCAAAAAAAAAAAAAACAACAGUACCCUAAAAUGUUUAGAAUAGCCCUCUAUUUCUAGUUAAUAUUGGCUUUUUUCACGGCUAUAGAGUUAUGUAUCUUCCCCAUAUGGUUAAAUCUGACAAGUCUUAUGGUGUGUUUCAAAUCCACCCUGCAAAUUUUCUUCUUGCGUUUAUUUUACGGGUUUCUGUGGUAUUUUACAUGAGAAAAAAAUAGAAAAACCCUACUUUUAGUCUUACAAACCUAAACAAUUACUCUUCAUUUAAAACCAUUUCUUUAUGUACAUUUUCCCUUUCAGUUCAUUAUUUAUGAGUGAGGAUUUGAUGAUGUCACAGAACAGAAUUCCUUUUUGCCACCUAUAAAAACACUGUGCUACCAAAUCUGCCUAAUAUAAGUAACUCCUCUGAAAGUCUGAAGUCCUUGGAAAGCUUCCAGUUUCUAGGGUUGAGGAUAGGUAUAAAUGGUAGAAUAUUGUUAUUUUUUAGCUGGUUUCAGCCCUUACAACAGUAACAGUUACCCAUCCUCAGCCCCAUAGCUGUCAGGUGUGUACCUAGUUUGUGGGAACAAAGAUUAGGACAAAGAAGCCUUGUUUUAUAAUAUGGAGGUCUGUUCUUUGAUCUUUAUUGAUGCUCUUUGUUAUAGCUUCAAGCACAGAGGUUGGAAGUGAUUUUUGCAUUCGUAGCCUCACAUUGUAGCAAGAUUUUUUCCUUUAUUUUGAAGUGAUUUUUAAAAAUUAUUUUAUUUAUUGUUUUUUUUUAAUGUGCCUUGGUGUUUUACCUGCAUAUAUGUCUGUAUGAGGGUUGUCAGUCUUCCUAAACUAGAGUUAUAGAUGGUUGUGAGCUGCCAUGUGGGUGCUGGGAAUUGAACCCAGGUCCUCAGGAAAAACAGCUAAAUCUCUUAGCUGAGCCAUCUCUCUGGCCCCUUGAAGUAAUUUUCAAUUCUAUUCCCUCAGUUUUUAUUUUUCUUUCCCCUUUUGGUGGCAAAAUGAUAAGAAUUAAGAGUUUUAAACUGCUUAGUAUAUCAGGGAAAUUACAAAGUGACUUGCAUAGGUAAGAAACAACACAGGCACAAAAACGCCGGAAGCAGACUUUGACUUUACCCCUCAGACACAGAGCUGACCUAUGGGCAGUAGCACAGAGUAGUGAGAAAGCCUUGAGGAGAAAGGCGCAGUUAGCAGGGUACAGCCCUGCUAGAUUUACAUAGUCCCUUUUACAACAGCAAAAUAAUUGUCAUUCGUACAAAGAAGUAGGAACGGGUGAUGCGUUUAAAGGAACAAAAAGAUAGAAACUAUCCCUGAAAAAAAA